UACGUAGGGGACGAGCGUUGUCCGGAAUUACUGGGCGUAAAGGGCGCGCAGGCUGUAGAUCAAGUCAGCUGUGAAAUGUCUGGGCUUAACCCGGACAUGCGGUUGAAACUGAUGUACUGGAGUGCUGUAGAGGCAAGUGGAAUUCCCAGUGUAGCGGUGAAAUGCGUAGAUAUUGGGAAGAACACCGGUGGCGAAGGCGACUUGCUGGGCAGCAACUGACGCUGAGGCGCGAAAGCCAGGGGAGCAAACGGGAUUAGA
rnacentral:rRNA from 1 species